UACGUAGGGACCAAGCGUUGUUCGGAUUUACUGGGCGUAAAGGGCGCGUAGGCGGUUUGUCAAGUCAGUUGUGAAAUCUCCGAGCUUAACUCGGAACGGUCAACUGAUACUGUCAAACUAGAGUACAGAAGGGGCAAUCGGAAUUCUUGGUGUAGCGGUGAAAUGCGUAGAUAUCAAGAGGAACACCUGAGGCGAAGGCGGGUUGCUGGGCUGAUACUGACGCUGAAGCGCGAAAGCUAGGGUAGCAAACGGG
rnacentral:rRNA from 1 species